UCCCUUAUAGCUCAGUUGGUAAAGAAUCUGCCUGUAAUGCAGGAGGCCUUGGUUUGAUUCCUGGUUGGGAAG
rnacentral:tRNA from 1 species